AUUGAACGCUGGCGGCAUGCCUUACACAUGCAAGUCGAACGGCAGCACGGGAGCAAUCCUGGUGGCGAGUGGCGAACGGGUGAGUAAUAUAUCGGAACGUGCCCAGUAGUGGGGGAUAGCCCGGCGAAAGCCGGAUUAAUACCGCAUACGACCUGAGGGUGAAAGCGGGGGAUCGCAAGACCUCGCGCUAUUGGAGCGGCCGAUAUCAGAUUAGCUAGUUGGUGGGGUAAAGGCCUACCAAGGCUACGAUCUGUAGUUGGUCUGAGAGGACGACCAGCCACACUGGGACUGAGACACGGCCCAGACUCCUACGGGAGGCAGCAGUGGGGAAUUUUGGACAAUGGGCGCAAGCCUGAUCCAGCAAUGCCGCGUGCAGGAAGAAGGCCUUCGGGUUGUAACUGCUUUGUCAGGAGAAAUACUUCUGGGCGUAAUACCCCGGGAGGACGUGACGGUACCGUGAAGAAGUAAGACACCGGCUAACUACGUAGCCAGCAGCCGACC
rnacentral:rRNA from 1 species